rnacentral:tRNA from 1 species
GCCAGUGUGGUGUAGUGGUUUGAGCAUGGGACUAUGAUUCUGGAGACCAGGGUUCAAUUCCCGGCUCAGCCA